rnacentral:rRNA from 1 species
CCUACGGGAGGCAGCAGUGAGGAAUAUUGGUCAAUGGGCGAGAGCCUGAACCAGCCAAGUAGCGUGAAGGAUGACUGCCCUACGGGUUGUAAACUUCUUUUGUUUGGGAAUAAAAGACGCUACGUGUAGCGUUCUGCAUGUACCUUACGAAUAAGCAUCGGCUAAUUCCGUGCCAGCAGCCGCGGUAAU